rnacentral:rRNA from 1 species
AGGCCCUUCGGGGUACUCGAGCGGCGAACGGGUGAGUAACACGUGAGCAACCUGCCCUAGGCUUUGGGAUAACCCUCGGAAACGGGGGCUAAUACCGAAUAUUCACUUGCGGACGCAUGUUUGUGGGUGGAAAGUUUUUCGGCUUGGGAUGGGCUCGCGGCCUAUCAGCUUGUUGGUGGGGUGAUGGCCUACCAAGGCGACGACGGGUAGCCGGCCUGAGAGGGCGACCGGCCACACUGGGACUGAGACACGGCCCAGACUCCUACGGGAGGCAGCAGUGGGGAAUAUUGCACAAUGGGCGGAAGCCUGAUGCAGCGACGCCGCGUGAGGGAUGACGGCCUUCGGGUUGUAAACCUCUUUCAGCAGGGACGAAGCGCAAGUGACGGUACCUGCAGAAGAAGCGCCGGCCAACUACGUGCCAGCAGCCGCGGUAAGACGUAGGGCGCGAGCGUUGUCCGGAUUUAUUGGGCGUAAAGAGCUCGUAGGCGGCUUGUCGCGUCGACUGUGAAAACCCGUGGCUCAACUGCGGGCCUGCAGUCGAUACGGGCAGGCUAGAGUUCGGUAGGGGAGACUGGAAUUCCUGGUGUAGCGGUGAAAUGCGCAGAUAUCAGGAGGAACACCGGUGGCGAAGGCGGGUCUCUGGGCCGAUACUGACGCUGAGGAGCGAAAG